UAAAUAGAUAAAAUAUUGGAUUUCCACACAAUAAGACUGCCCUGAACUAUUCGCACUUUAUCUUUUGGAAAACUUGUGUUGGGAGAGAAAAGAAACUGGUUUCUCAUUAUGAACUGAAGAAGUGCAGCUGAGCUAUUUAUACACAUUGACAAAGAAUCCAGCUAAGCAAAACUAACAAACAAACUAAGCUAACUGACUAACAGAAUAAGUUACAAGAGAAGCUCCCAGCAGCUUUGAGAUUUGAGAGUCUCACACUUCUCAACAUCUUUUUAAUGGUUUCACCAGGCCACUCUUAUCUGUGGCCAUAUUUACAGUUAUAUUUGUUCUUCCCAUUCCAAUUAAUGACUCUUGCAAAAAUGUUUGGAACUUUGGGUGGACAAUUAUAUUUUCCAUUAUAAUUAUUUGUGCUUUUUGUAUUGGUUACCUAAUAUCAAUCACUCCUCUUUCCCAAAAAAAAAAAAAAAUAAA
rnacentral:misc_RNA from 1 species